AGAGUUUGAUCAUGGCUCAGGAUGAACGCUAGCGGCAGGCUUAAUACAUGCAAGUCAAGGGGGUAGCAAUACAACCGGCGCACGGGUGAGUAACGCGUACACAACAUGCCAUAUACUGGAGUAUAGCUUUGGGAAACUGAAGGUAAUCCUCCAUAAUAUUGCGAGAAGGCAUCUAAUUGCAAUUAAAGUUUCGACGGUAUAUGAUUGGUGUGCGUUUGAUUAGCUAGUUGGUAGGGUAACGGCCUACCAAGGCUACGAUCAAUAGCUGGCGUGAGAGCGCGACCAGCCACACUGGAACUGAGACACGGUCCAGACUCCUACGGGAGGCAGCAGUAGGGAAUAUUGGACAAUGGGCGAAAGCCUGAUCCAGCCAUGCCGCGUGAUAGAUGAAGGCCCUCUGGGUUGUAAAUAUCUUUUAUCUGGGAAGAAACACUCCUAUUCUUAGGAGCCUGACGGUACCAGAGGAAUAAGCACCGGCUAACUCCGUGCCAGCAGCCGCGGUAAUACGGAGGGUGCAAGCGUUAUCCGGAUUCACUGGGUUUAAAGGGUGCGUAGGCGGGUAUAUAAGUCAGUGGUGAAAGCUCCGAGCUUAACUUGGAAACUGCCAUUGAUACUGUAUAUCUUGAAUGUCGUUGAGGUUAGCGGAAUGUUGCAUGUAGCGGUGAAAUGCUUAGAUAUGUUACAGAACACCAAUUGUGAAGACAGCUAACUAAGCGAUGAUUGACGCUGAGGCACGAAAGCGUGGGGAGCAAACAGGAUUAGAUACCCUAGUAGUCC
rnacentral:rRNA from 1 species